GUACGGGAGGCAGCAGUGGGGAAUAUUGGGCAAUGGGCGAAAGCCUGACCCAGCCAUGCCGCGUGAGUGAUGAAGGCCUUCGGGUCGUAAAGCUCUGUGGGGAGGGACGAAAAGACCUUGGCUAAUAUCCAAGGGAACUGACGGUACCUCCUUAGCAAGCACCGGCUAACUCCGUGCCAGCAGCCGCGGUAAUACGGAGGGUGCAAACGUUGCUCGGAAUCAUUGGGCGUAAAGCGCACGUAGGCGGCGCGUUAAGUCGGGUGUGAAAGCCCUGGGCUCAACCCAGGAAGUGCAUUCGAAACUGGCGCGCUUGAAUAUGGAAGAGGGUCGCGGAAUUCCCGGUGUAGAGGUGAAAUUCGUAGAUAUCGGGAGGAACACCAGUGGCGAAGGCGGCGACCUGGGCCAAUAUUGACGCUGAGGUGCGAAAGCGUGGGGAGCAAACAGGAUUAGAUACCCCGGU
rnacentral:rRNA from 1 species